GACAGAGGUGCCGAGCGUUAGGCGGAAUCACUGGGCUUAAAGCGCGUGUAGGCGGGCCGGCACGUCGGUCGCUGAAAUCCCCCGGCUCAACCGGGGAAGGGGCGCCGAUACGACCGGCCUGGAGGGGGGUAGGGGGCGCUGGAACUCACGGUGGAGCGGUGAAAUGCGUUGAGAUCGUGAGGAACGCCCGCGGCGAAAGCGAGCGCCUGGACCCUUUCUGACGCUGAGACGCGAAAGCCAGGGGAGCGAACGGG
rnacentral:rRNA from 1 species